CAUAUUUGAAGUCCCUGAGGUCUGAACGAGCAUGACUCAUUUACAGAAAUAAAAGAGGGCCAGGGCAGAGCGUGAGAGGGAGAGCGGCACAUCACAGGAAACUCAGGCCACUUUCAAGAUUUCAGUCUUCGUCUUAAGGACAAUGAAAAGUCGCUGAAGAGUUUCAGAGCUGGAUUGAGAGACCCUUUAGAUGAAGAGGCCUUCACCACUUAACAAAAGGAAGAGAGUAUGUUGGAACAAAUUUGGGAUAAGAAAUUCAUCAUGGUGUCAAAUACUACGGAAACAAAGUAGCUGAGAAUUAAGAGGGCAUCACAACAAGGCUUUUGCAAGACUCUGUGGCUUCUGUAAGCGCCCCCUAUUGGGUUUUCAAUAGUACAAGCGCUCAGUAGGGGCUCUUGGAGCGAAUGGAGGCAUGGACCCAUCCAUCGAUGAAUGAUGCAGGCAUCCUACUGGCUUUCUGAGACAAAACACUGAGAUUCACUAGGAAGAAACUUUUCACACAAAAGCUUAUUUCUACUUGGAUCAUAUUACUGCUUCGGAAGGCCCCAGGAAAGGCUCAUGAGGAAACAGGUCUCACCGCGACAUGUGCUGCACAGUGACAGAACAGAGGAGGACAAGAAUCUUCUUUUCCUGUCCUGGGGCACAGACACUUUUUGCUGUAUACCAGAGAUGAGAAUGUCAGAGCCAUGAAUGUGAUGCUGUAAAUGUUCCAUGGAAGGAGGAAAAGUAGUCUUUUUCUCCAGGGGGAAGUGUGCAACUUGGCUCAGGCACCCAGGGCCAUCUUUGGUGACUUGGAUUCAUUUGGGGACCUAAAUGGUUAAAAUGCUAUAGGAGGAAAACUCUUCCAAAGAUUUCUAAAAAUCCACCAAAUUGUGGAUAGUUCUUCAUAAAAUUUAAGAAAAUAAUAUUUUUUUUCUUUCAGUUGAAAAUUGUACCUUUUAAAAAGACAAUACAGGAACAAGAUUGACAUUGUGAAAUUUUAAGAUUUAUGAAUCUUAUGGGCUAUAAUUAACUUAUCAAAGUUUUUUUUAAAGGUUUUUGUGAAAAGAACAUAGAUUUUGGUUUUCACCUCUUUCAAUCAUGGUUCCUAAUUUGAUACAGACUUAAGGGCUUUGUUUUAUAGUUUCAGUUAACAAGUGAAGGAAUGGCAUAGAGAAUAAAUUUUGGAGAAAUUUAGAAAGUGGAGGAGGUAUCAUGGGUUGCAGGGGGGCUGUGGAAGGUUUUAUAAAAGAUGGAGGCCAUGAACUAGGUUUUGAGGGACAAUUAGAACAGUGGUGGGUAGGAGGGGAGGGGUAGGAAGAUUCUUAAAGAGUAGGAAAGACAUGCCUAAUAUUAGGCAUGGGUGGAGGUGCCAGGGUGGGAAUGUCAGCUAGCAAGUCAGCUUCAAAAUGUGACAUCAACGUCUCUAACUUUAGAAGCAUGGUAUUCAUUCAGGGUAAAAAUGGAGGAAAAUUAUUUUGAUGGAGACAUUCUGGGAGACAGUGAUGGAAAUCUAGAGCAUGUCUUAGAGCUCACAGGUACAGCUGUAUAGCAUUGAAGAACCAGGCGGUUUUACAAAUUCCUGGGGUGCCCUCUUCGAGAUGUAGUUGCAGCUUGAUCAUCACCUAGAUGGUAAUCAGUUUGCCUCUGCUGCUUGCAAGUGUGUCUGCAGUCACUUCAUAAAUAACCUUGUGAGAUGGAGCUUCAUGAGCCCGAGAAUGAGUCUGGACGCCUAUUUCCUGUUGAUGUAUAUUGAAUGCAUCUCUAGUGCAGCUGCAUUUAGAACUCUGUAAGAAUGUGACUACUCGCUCCUGCCUGGGUCUAAUCGAGUUGAAAAAUUCCAAACAUGACUGUAAAUUCCACUAGUUCUGCAUGGAAGAAAGAGCCUAAAUACAGGUCAAGGGACUUUUUUUGGACUCCAGCCUCUGCCUGAUUUUUCUUCAGAAUUAGAGGUUGUUGUGUUUUGUGUUUUUUGUUUUUGAAAAGGGAGACUUAUCUUCUCAAUGGUACUUUGGGGUGUGUGUUUUACUAGAAGAGAGUCAAAAGUGGGGAAGAGAUUAACAUCUAUGGAACACUUGCGAAUAUAAGAAGCCUUUAUGUAUAUUUCAACCUCAUGAUACUACUCUGAAAUAGGCAUAAUUAUGCCUUGUAGAAAAAAAGCAUCGUAAGGGUCAUUAUCUGUUUUGUUCCUCAAGUGCUUAAAAUAGUACCUCACAUACUAGAUGCUCAAUAAAUAUUUGGGAGACGAAAAUAA